rnacentral:rRNA from 1 species
GGUUCGAUCCUGGCUCAGAUUGAACGCUGGCGGGAUGCUUUACACAUGCAAGUCGAACGGCAGCACGGACUUCGGUCUGGUGGCGAGUGGCGAACGGGUGAGUAAUGUAUCGGAACGUGUCAGUAGCGGGGAUAACUACGCGAAAGCAGGAAGCAAUACCGCAUACGCCCUUCGGGGGAAAGCGGGGACCUUCGGGCCUCGCACUAUUAGAGCGGCCGAUAUCGGAUUAGCUAGUUGGUGGGGUAACGGCUCACCAAGGCGACGAUCCGUAGCUGGUUUGAGAGGACGACCAGCCACACUGGGACUGAGACACGGCCCAGACUCCUACGGGAGGCAGCAGUGGGGAAUUUUGGACAAUGGGGAAACCUGAUCCAGCCAUCCUGGGCGUGUGCGAUGAAGGCCUUCGCUAAAGCAAUUUUUGGCAGGAGGAAACGGCACGGGAUAAUACCCCGUGCAACUGACGGUACCUGCAGAAUAAGCACCGGCUAACUACGCCAGCAGCCGCGGUAAUACGUAGGGUGCAAGCGUUAAUCGGAAUUACUGGGCGCAAAGCGUGUGCAGGCGGUUCGAAAGAAAGAUGUGUGAACCAGAGCUUAACUUUGGAACUGCAUUUUUAACUACCGAGCUAGAGUGUGUCAGAGGGAGGUGGAAUUCGCGUAGCAGCGGAAAUGCGUAGAUAUGCGGAGGAACACCGAUGGCGAAGCAGCCUCCUGGGAUAACACUGACGCUCAUGCACGAAAGCGGGGAGCAAACAGGAUUAGAUACCCUGGUAGUCCACGCCCUAAACGAUGUCAACUAGCUGUUGGGGCUUUCGGGCCUGGUAAAGUAGCUAACGCGAAGUUGACCGCCUGGGGAGUACGGUCACAAGAUUAAAACUCAAAGGAAUUGACGGGGAUUCCGCACAAGCGGUGGAUGAUGUGGAUUAAUUCGAUGCAACGCGAAAACCUUACCUACCCUUGACAUGUCUGGAAUCCCGAAGAGAUUUCCGGGAGUGCUCGCAAGAGAACCGGAACACAGGUGCUGCAUGGCUGUCGUCAGCUCGUGUCGUGAGAUGUUGGGUUAAGUCCCGCAACGAGCGCAACCCUUGUCAUUAGUUGCUACGAAAGGGCACCUAAUGAGACUGCCGGUGACAAACCGGAGGAAGGUGGGGAUGACGCCGGAGUCCCCAUGGCCCUGUGCGGUAGGGCUUCACACGUCAUACAAUGGUCGGGACAGAGGGUCGCCAACCCGCGAGGGGAGCCAAUCCCAGAAACCCGAUCGUAGCCUGGAUCGCAGUCUGCAACUCGACUGCGUGAAGUCGGAAUCGCUAGUAAUCGCGGAUCAGCAUGUCGCGGUGAAUACGUUCCCCGGGUCUUGUACACCGCCCGGCCACACCAUGGGAGUGGGUUUCACCAGAAGUAGUUAGCCUAACCGUAAGGAGGGCGAUUACCACGUAGAUUCAUGACUGGGGUGAAGUCGUAACAAGGUAG